AUUGGUGGGACCGAAUUAUUACGGUCUAGAUCUUUCGGUAACUCCCUAAAUAAUCCCACGUUGGAAAAAAAAUCCCUAGAAAUUAUGAGCCUUCAGAUAUGAAGUAGUAGAUCUCAAGAUCAAGUAAAAAAAGACCUGAAGAUCGUUACUUAAAAAUAGAUCAGAAAAUCAGAAUAUUUAUUCUGCAAAGAAAAUGGUAAAAAGGCCUAGAAAUCUUUCUUAAGUGCACGGGACUCCUCUCCUAGAAUCCUUUCUUAAGUGCACGGGACUCUCCUCUCCUUCCUUUCUCCCAACAUAGGACUCCUCUCUUUUCAUUCGUUAAAAAAGGCCUAGAAUCCUUUCGCUCCGAUUAGUAUCUGACGAGCAUGGGACUCCUCUCUUUCCCUUCUUGCCUUUUCUACCUAAGAACAAGAGAGUUCAACAACGUCUCCUUCUGAUCUGUGUUCGCAGGCUGCAGGACUGCAGGUGGCAGGUAAUGAAUCUGCCUCUGUCUCCAUGGGACCUCCGAUUGCGGCGACGACGGGAUCGAUCGUCUGCACUGACUACACAGAUGUUCCCACCUCCAAAUCCCUCCUCACGUUCUGAUAUCGCGCACAGAAAAAUCCUUCGCUCGCUUGCACCAUAGACCGCCUCAACUAGUGCUGGAUGGGCUCCAGUGGCAGCAGGAAGUCGUGGCCCUCAAGCCUCGGUCUGUCCACAAAAUCAAGGCUGGUUUUCAAGUCUGCUGGAGGAAAUAAAGAAAAAGCUUGCAGGCCAAAGAAUCCGUACCCGUGCCGAUCAAUUCACACACAUAUAUAUUUCUUGAAAUUAAUCACACCAUACUUAAUAUUUUCCUUCUCCUAUUUUUCUCCUAUGUAAUACAAACUGUGGGCGAGGUCGAACUGGCCCAUCUUGUACGGCGUCAGAAGAGGGAUGGGCUCCAUUGCUGAUAGCUGAAGCUUUUCUAGAUCAAUUAAUGGCGGAUGAGGAAGAAGAAGACCGAUGAGUGGUGUGGGGUAGUGACUGGUGAGUUGACAGGACAUACAUUUAUAGAUGAUUGAUGUGCAAUCACAUAGUACGUAUUAAA